UAAGACGAACCGUGCGAACGUUGUUCGGAUUCACUGGGCUUAAAGGGCGCGUAGGCGGGCCAUCAAGUCAGGGGUGAAAUCUUUCGGCUCAACCGGAAAAGUGCCUUUGAUACUGGUGGUCUCGAGGGAGGUAGGGGCAUGCGGAACUUCCGGUGGAGCGGUGAAAUGCGUAGAUAUCGGAAGGAACGCCGGUGGCGAAAGCGGCGUGCUGGACCUCUUCUGACGCUGAGGCGCGAAAGCUAGGGGAGCAAACGGGAUUAGAUACCCCGGUAGUCCUAGCCCUAAACGAUGAGCACUAGAUUGUAGAUCGACAUGGGUUUACAGUCGAAGCAAAAGUGUUAAGUGCUCCGCCUGGGGAGUAUGGUCGCAAGGCUG
rnacentral:rRNA from 1 species